rnacentral:rRNA from 1 species
CCUACGGGUGGCUGCAGUGGGGAAUAUUGCACAAUGGGGGGAACCCUGAUGCAGCGACGCCGCGUGGGUGAGGAAGUACCUCGGUAUGUAAAGCCCUAUUAGCAGGGAAGAAAAUGACGGUACCUGACUAAGAAGCUCCGGCUAACUACGUGCCAGCAGCCGAGGUAAGACGUAGGGGGCAAGCGUUAUCCGGAUUUACUGGGUGUAAAGGGAGCGUAGACGGCGUGCCAAGUCUGGUGUGAAAGGCCGGGGCUCAAACCCGAGACUGCCUUUGAAACUGGCAUGCUGGAGUGCCGGAGGGGUAAGCGGAAUGCGUAGUGUAGCGGUGAAAUGCAUAGAUAUUAGGAAGAACACCGGUGGCGAAGGCAGCUUACUGGACGAUAACUGACGUUGAGGCUCGAAAGCGUGGGGAGCAAACAGGAUUAGAUACCCGGGUAGUC